rnacentral:rRNA from 1 species
UACGUAGGUGGCAAGCGUUUGUCCGGAUUUACUGGGCGUAAAGAGCGCGCAGGCGGUCGAGUAAGUCGAAUGUGAAAGCCCCCCGGCUUAACUGGGGGAGGGUCAUUCGAUACUGUUCGACUUGAAGGCAGGAGAGGGCAGCAGAAUUCCCGGUGUAGUGGUGAAAUGCGUAGAUAUCGGGAGGAACACCAGUGGCGAAGGCGGCGAUCUGGGCAGACACUGACGCUGAGGUGCGAAAGCGUGGGGAGCAAACAGG